UACGUAGGGGGCUAGCGUUGUCCAGAAUCAUUGGGCGUAAAGCGCGUGUAGGCGGUCCGGUAAGUCCGCUGUGAAAAGUCGGGGGGCUCAACCCUCGGAUGCCGGUGGAUACUGUCGGGCUUGAGUACGGAAGAGGCGAGUGGAAUUCCUGGUGUAGCGGUGAAAUGCGCAGAUAUCAGGAGGAACACCAAUUGCGAAGGCAGCUCGCUGGGACGUCACUGACGCUGAGGCACGAAGGCCAGGGGAGCAAACGGG
rnacentral:rRNA from 1 species